UGAUGAUGAUGAUGAUGAUGAUGAUGAUGAUGAUGAUGAUGAUGAUGAUGAUGAGAUAAGCAUCCUCAUCAACAGCAUCAUCCUCAUCAUCAUAU
rnacentral:pre_miRNA from 1 species